CCUACGGGAGGCAGCAGUGGGGAAUAUUGGACAAUGGGGGCAACCCUGAUCCAGCCAUGUCGCGUGUGUGAAGAAGGCCCUCGGGUUGUAAAGCACUUUCAGUGAGGAAGAACGCCUGGUGGUUAAUACCCAUCAGGAAAGACAUCACUCACAGAAGAAGCACCGGCUAACUCCGUGCCAGCAGCCGCGGUAAUACGGAGGGUGCGAGCGUUAAUCGGAAUUACUGGGCGUAAAGCGCGCGUAGGUGGCUUGAUAAGCCGGUUGUGAAAGCCCCGGGCUCAACCUGGGAACGGCAUCCGGAACUGUCAAGCUAGAGUGCAGGAGAGGAAGGUAGAAUUCCCGGUGUAGCGGUGAAAUGCGUAGAGAUCGGGAGGAAUACCAGUGGCGAAGGCGGCCUUCUGGACUGACACUGACACUGAGGUGCGAAAGCGUGGGUAGCAAACAGGAUUAGAUACCCUGGUAGUC
rnacentral:rRNA from 1 species